rnacentral:rRNA from 1 species
CAUUAUACCGUGAAACUGCGAAUGGCUCAUUAAAUCAGUUAUCGUUUAUUUGAUAGUACCUUACUACUUGGAUACCUGUGGUAAUUCUAGAGCUAAUACAUGCUAAAAACCUCGACUUCGGAAGGGGUGUAUUUAUUAGAUAAAAAACCAAUGCCCUUCGGGGCUCCUUGGUGAUUCAUAAUAACUUCUCAGAUCGCAUGGCCUUGCGCCGGCGACGGUUCAUUCAAAUUUCUGCCCUAUCAACUUUCGAUGGUAAGGUAUUGGCUUACCAUGGUGGCAACGGGUAACGGGGAAUUAGGGUUCGAUUCCGGAGAGUUAGCCUGAGAAACGGCUAACACAUCCAAGGAAGGCAGCAGGCGCGCAAAUUACCCAAUCCCGAUACGGGGAGGUAGUGACAAUAAAUACUGAUACAGGGCUCUUUUGGGUCUUGUAAUUGGAAUGAGUACAAUUUAAACCUCUUAACGAGGAACAAUUGGAGGGCAAGUCUGGUGCCAGCAGCCGCGGUAAUUCCAGCUCCAAUAGCGUAUAUUAAAGUUGUUGCAGUUAAAAAGCUCGUAGUUGAACCUUUGGCCUGGCUGGCAGGUCCGCCUCACCGCGUGCACUUGUCCGGCCGGGCCUUUUCUUCUGGAGAACCGCAUGCCCUUCACUGGGUGUGUUGGGGACCAGGACUUUUACUUUGAAAAAAUUAGAGUGUUCAAAGCAGGCCUUUGCUCGAAUAUUACAGCAUGGAAUAAUAGAAUAGGACGUGCGGUUCUAUUUUGUUGGUUUCUAGGACCGCCGUAAUGAUUAAUAGGGACAGUCGGGGGCAUCAGUAUUCAAUUGUCAGAGGUGAAAUUCUUGGAUUUAUUGAAGACUAACUACUGCGAAAGCAUUUGCCAAGGAUGUUUUCAUUAAUCAGUGAACGAAAGUUAGGGGAUCGAAGACGAUCAGAUACCGUCGUAGUCUUAACCAUAAACUAUGCCGACUAGGGAUCGGGCGGUGUUACUAUUUUGACUCGCUCGGCACCUUACGAGAAAUCAAAGUGUUU